CUGUUGAUCUGGGAAUUCUCAAUAGCUCCUGAUCUGGGGGAGAGUCUGCAAGGAGGCAUUCUAUUGUCUUUAAGACGUCCUCAAUUAAAAAUGUCAUGAAGGUUGCAUGCAUCUCCCAGACAUAUUUUGUUUCCCUGGGAGAGAAGUCCUGGCUUUAUCUCAUAGUGCAGUGGAAUGAGACAUGGGGACAGCAGCUACAGACUGAAGAUCACAUUAUCUUUACAGCAUCACAUAGAUGCAGUAAAAAUAGUUGUACCCAUAAAGAAGAAAAUGGGAAAAUUUCAAUGAGCAAUGGGUGACUGUACUUUUGGGGACAAAAUGUUACAUACAUAAGAAUAAAGAGUCUCACAUCCUUUUGUUGCAGGUUUAAUGAGCCAUGAGAGCUGUGUUUCUGUUACAUUGAUCAUGUUAACUUCACCACAGUUUCAGGACCCCGAAGAUGAGGCUGAUGAACUUGUCCUAUAAACACCUGAGAUAUUCCACAGAGGUUGUCAGAGUUGCCAACCAGUGAUUGAUCCAACCUGAGACUCAUGCCACAAGAGUGAACCCACCCCUGACACUGCCUGGAAAGCCAGGACCCAAAGGCUGGAUGGCUCAGACACCUGGGAUAGAACCAUAUACAACUGGAGGGGAAAAUGUCAAUGUAAUGAUGUUAAUGACAUUCUGCUAUGCUCAUAGAUUGGUGUCUAGCACAAUAGUCAUCAGAGACCCUUUAUCCAGCAACUGGUAGGAACUGAUGCAGAGACCAACAGCGAAACAUUAGACUGAUCUCAGGGAAU